rnacentral:rRNA from 1 species
UACGUAGGGGGCAAGCGUUGUCCGGAAUCAUUGGGAGUAAAGCGCGUGUAGGCGGCUCGGUAAGUCUGCUCUGAAAGCCCGGGGCUCAACCCUGGGAGGCGGGUGGAUACUGCUGAGCUCGAGUCCGGAAGAGGCGAGUGGAAUUCCUGGUGUAGCGGUGAAAUGCGCAGAUAUCAGGAGGAACACCAAUGGCGAAGGCAGCUCGCUGGGACGGUACUGACGCUGAGACGCGAAAGCGUGGGGAGCGAACAGG